UUCAGAGAUGAGAAUGUGCCUUCGGGAACCGUGAGACAGGUGCUGCAUGGCUGUCGUCAGCUCGUGUUGUGAAAUGUUGGGUUAAGUCCCGCAACGAGCGCAACCCUUAUCCUUUGUUGCCAGCGGUCCGGCCGGGAACUCAAAGGAGACUGCCAGUGAUAAACUGGAGGAAGGUGGGGAUGACGUCAAGUCAUCAUGGCCCUUACGACCAGGGCUACACACGUGCUACAAUGGCGCAUACAAAGAGAAGCGACCUCGCGAGAGCAAGCGGACCUCAUAAAGUGCGUCGUAGUCCGGAUUGGAGUCUGCAACUCGACUCCAUGAAGUCGGAAUCGCUAGUAAUCGUGGAUCAGAAUGCCACGGUGAAUACGUUCCCGGGCCUUGUACACACCGCCCGUCACACCAUGGGAGUGGGUUGCAAAAGAAGUAGGUAGCUUAACCUUCGGGAGGGCGCUUACCACUUUGUGAUUCAUGACUGGGGUGAAGUCGUAACAAGGUAACCGUAGGGGAACCUGCGGUUGGAUCAC
rnacentral:rRNA from 1 species